UAAGUGCUUAGGUUCCAGCUUCCUAACCAUCUUGCCUUUUCUUUCCUUGGCCAGGGUAUCUGGGAGUUCCUAGAUGUCUUGUCUGCUGAAACAUCUAAGAGAAGAGACAACCAAGGAGACUGCUCAGUUGUGUCCAAGGAAUUCUGUCUGGGCAAGUUCCAAGGUCCAACACAGUACUUGACAUGGACUUCAAUAAGGUCCAUCCUCAAACUAGAUUUCAUAGACUCGAUUCAACUAGAUGGCAGCACUGCUCAUCCUGGCCUCACUAUCAUGAAUUUCGUUGUAUGUGUA